rnacentral:rRNA from 1 species
ACUCUAUACGAUGGAUAUCUUGGCUCUUGAAUCGAUGAAGAACGCAGCGAAAUGCGAUAAGUAAUGCGAAUUGCAGAACUCUGUGAGUCAUCAAAUCUUUGAACGCAUAUUGCACUUCCUUUUGGGAGUAUACUUGUUUGAGUGUAGUUAAAGGUUUCUAUCUAUAAUAGAUGAAUAUUGGAGUUAGUAUACUAUACUUUCUCUAAAAUGAAUAUAUUCGUAUAUAAGAAUAGUAUUUGAGGUAGUUGCCACAAGUACUAUAUUAUAUAAGAAUAUAUUUAAUAAGAUCUAUCUCAAAUCAAGUAAGAUUACCUGCUGAAUUGAAGCAUCUAAGUAAGCAGAGGAAAAGAAAAUAACAAUGAUUCUCUUAGUAACGGCGAGUGAAUAGGGAAUAGCCCAAGCUUAAAUCAGCUUUGCUGAGUUGUAGUGUGUAGAAUCUAACUUUUGUUCAGUGUUAAUAUCAUAUAAUUUGGUUGGAAAACCAAGUAAUAGAAGGUGAUAACCCUGUAAUAUGAUAUGACUGAAUGUUGGAUUCUUGGAGUCGAGUUGUUUGGGAAUGCAACUCGAAGUGGGUGGUGAACUCCAUCUAAGGCUAAAUAUGUUCAAGAGACCGAUAGUGAACAAGUACCGUGAGGGAAAGAUGAAAAGAACUUUGAGAAAAGAGUGAAAUAGUACUUGAAAUCGUAUAGAGGUUAAGCAGAGUUGGUGGAUAUUGUAUUUGAAUGUACUAUAAUCAAUUGAUUAUGGCUUAUUCUUAUACAUAGUAUAAUUUGUGUGUGAAUUGGUUAAUAUUAAAACGAAUAUGCGCAUAAAUGAUAUAAAUCCUACAUCUCUGUCCCGUCUUGAAACACGGACCAAGGAGUCUAUCCUGUAUGCAAGUUGUAUGGUGUAAAACCAAUAAGCGUAAUGAAAGUAAGAGGUGUGAAAGUUGUAAAAGUGUCAACACCUGCCGAUCUAAAUUCUUUGAUGAAAGAUUCGAGUAUGAGCAUAUAGGGUGGGACCCGAAAGAUGGUGAACUAUGCCUGAAUAGGACGAAGCCAGGGGAAACUCUGGUGGAGGUUCGAGUGGAUUCUAACGUGCAAAUUGAUCUUUAAAUUUGGGUAUAGGGGCGAAAGACUAAUCGAACCAUCUAGUAGCUGGUUCAUUCCGAAAUUUCCCUCAGGAUAGCUGCAACUUAUGAAAUAGUUUUAUGAGGUAAAGCGAAUGAUUAGAGGUUUCUGGGAUGGAAUAUCCUGGACCUAUUCUCAAACUUUCAAUGGGUAAGAAAAGUGUGAUGUUUAAUUAAUCAUACUAUUUGAAUAUGAGUUGCAAGUGGGCCAUUCCGGGUAAGCUGGACUGGCAAUGCGGGAUCAACCGAACGCUAUGUUACGGCGCCAGAUUGUUCGCUCAGUUGGAUGUAAAAGGUGUUAGUUCAUCUAGACAGCAGGACGGUGGCCAUGGAAGUCGGAAUCCGCUAAGGAGUGUGUAACAACUCACCUGCCGAAUGAAGUAGCCCUGAAAAUGGAUGGCGCUUAAGCGAACAGCCUAUACAUAGCCAUUAUUGUUAGGAUUAUACAAUAAUGAGUAGGAAUGCGUGAUGAAUGUUGUGAAGUAUGAUGUGUGAACAUGUAUGGAACAUUCAUUAGUGCAGAUCUUGGUGGAAGUAGCAAAUAUUCAAAUGAGAUCUUUGAAGACUGAAGUGGAGAAAGGUUCCAUAGGAAUAGUGAUUAUCUAUGGGUUAGUCGAUCCUAAGAGAUAGGUGAAAUCCAUUGAAAAGUCAAUUUCGAUUGACAUUUAUCGAAAGGGAAUCAGGUUAAUAUUCCUGAACCAAAGAGAAGGGUAAACGGUAACGUAUAGGGGUCUCAAGACAUUGAUGUUAUUCCCAGGAAGAGUUUUCUUUUCUUGUUAACAAAUGGGCAGUGCUUGGAAUCGAUUCAGUCGGCGAUAAGCAUUGUUAUUUGGUAAAGUACUACUAUUUUGUGUAGUAUCUGGUGCAAUGACAUGAAUCCUUGAAAAUUGAGACUUUUGUUUUCCCGAAGCUUUGGUCGUACUAAUAACCGCAUCAGGUCUCCAAGGUGAAUAGCCUCUAGUUAAUAGAAUAAUGUAGAUAAGGGAAGUCGGCAAAUUAGAUCCGUAACUUCGGGAUAAGGAUUGGCUCUGAGGGCUAAGUGGGUUUAAGGUGUUAAUAGUAUAAGUUUGAUAUGGGAUUGAGUGUUUUGAGUUGCUUCGGUGAUUUGAAAUAUUUGGUUCUAAUGUCUUAGUUGUCUAUUUUCAUCUACCACUAUGAAUAGCUAACUCAGAACUGGUACGGACAAGGGGAAUCCGACUGUUUAAUUAAAACAAAGCAUUGUGAUGGUGUGAAAGAUAUGUUGACACAAUGUGAAUUCUGCCCAGUGCUCUGAAUGUGAAAGUGGCGUAAUUCAAGCAAGCGCGGGUAAACGGCGGGAGUAACUAUGACUCUCUUAAGGUAGCCAAAUGCCUCGUCAUCUAAUUAGUGACGCGCAU